UACGUAGGGGGCAAGCGUUGUCCGGAAUUAUUGGGCGUAAAGAGCGCGUAGGCGGUCCGAUAAGUCGGCUGUGAAAGUCCAGGGCUCAACCCUGGAAAGCCGGCCGAUACUGUCGGACUAGAGUCCGGAAGAGGCGAGUGGAAUUCCCGGUGUAGCGGUGAAAUGCGCAGAUAUCAGGAAGAACACCGAUGGCGAAGGCAGCUCGCUGGGACGGUACUGACGCUGAGGCGCGAAAGCGUGGGGAGCGAACAGG
rnacentral:rRNA from 1 species